AAUGAACGUUGGCGGCGUGGAUUAGGCAUGCAAGUCGAGCGAGAACCCGCAAGGGGGACAGCGGCAAACGGGGUAGGAACGCGUAGGUAACGUACCCUCGGGACGGGGAUAGCCACGGGAAACUGUGGGUAAUACCCGAUAACGUCGAGAGACCAAAGGUGUGAUUCCACCUGAGGAGCGGCCUGCGUAGUAUUAGCUAGUUGGUGAGGUAAUGGCUCACCAAGGCGAAGAUGCUUAGGGGGUGUGAGAGCAUGGCCCCCACCACUGGGACUGAGAUACUGCCCAGACACCUACGGGUGGCUGCAGUCGAGAAUCUUCGGCAAUGGGCGAAAGCCUGACCGAGCGACGCCGCGUGUGGGAUGAAGGCCCUUGGGUUGUAAACCACUGUCAGAGGGGAUGAAAUGCCAGAGAGCUAUCUCUUUGGUUUGACAUAGCCUCAGAGGAAGCACGGGCUAAGUUCGUG
rnacentral:rRNA from 1 species